UACGAAGGGGGGCUAGCGUUGCUCGGAAUGACUGGGCGUAAAGGGCGCGUAGGCGGAUGGCACAGUCAGAUGUGAAAUUCCCGGGCUUAACCUGGGGGCUGCAUUUGAUACGUGUUGUCUAGAGUGAGGAAGAGGGUUGUGGAAUUCCCAGUGUAGAGGUGAAAUUCGUAGAUAUUGGGAAGAACACCGGUGGCGAAGGCGGCGAUCUGGGUAGAUACUGACGCUGAGGUGCGAAAGCGUGGGGAGCAAACAGG
rnacentral:rRNA from 1 species